rnacentral:rRNA from 1 species
UUGCUUCACUAUGAGAUGGACCUGCGUUGUAUUAGCUAGUUGGUGAGGUAACGGCUCACCAAGGCGACGAUACAUAGCCGACCUGAGAGGGUGAUCGGCCACACUGGGACUGAGACACGGCCCAGACUCCUACGGGAGGCAGCAGUAGGGAAUCUUCGGCAAUGGACGGAAGUCUGACCGAGCAACGCCGCGUGAGUGAAGAAGGUUUUCGGAUCGUAAAGCU